CCUACGGGAGGCUGCAGUGGGGAAUAUUGCACAAUGGGCGCAAGCCUGAUGCAGCCAUGCCGCGUGUGUGAAGAAGGCCUUCGGGUUGUAAAGCACUUUCAGCGGGGAGGAAGGCGGUGAGGUUAAUAACCUCAUCGAUUGACGUUACCCGCAGAAGAAGCACCGGCUAACUCCGUGCCAGCAGCCGCGGUAAUACGGAGGGUGCAAGCGUUAAUCGGAAUUACUGGGCGUAAAGCGUACGCAGGCGGUCUGUCAAGUCGGAUGUGAAAUCCCCGGGCGCAACCUGGGAACUGCAUUCGAAACUGGCAGGCUAGAGUCUUGUAGAGGGGGGUAGAAUUCCAGGUGUAGCGGUGAAAUGCGUAGAGAUCUGGAGGAAUACCGGUGACGAAGGCGGCCCCCUGGACAAAGACUGACGCUCAGGUGCGAAAGCGUGGGGAGCAAACAGGAUUAGAUACCCCUGUAGUC
rnacentral:rRNA from 1 species